rnacentral:lncRNA from 1 species
GAAAGAAGCAAAAAUUGGCGAAAAGUGACAAAAUCCAUUUAUUUGGCGGCCAAUUACAGUGAAUUGGGCGAUUGUGGGCCAUUUUAAUUCUUGGGGGUCAUUUUAAAUGCUUCUCCAAACUUCAGGGACCAAAGCUGAAAAUUUUCCUAGGUUUUACUAUUAAAAACCUUGCAGAUCAGUUUUAAAGGAGAAGAACGAGAACUGCCGGCAGAAAAAGAAAAGAAAGAAAAGUGGAGAGAAAGGAAAAAUCUGAUUUUGAGAAAUAAAAUUGCUGGCUGAAUUUCAUUGAAGGAAGGCUAGAGGUUAUUGGUUAAUUAUAUAUUCAUGGCAGCCAAUUGAAGGAAAAAAGGUGGAGAAUCUUUUGGAGACAAAACCAUUAAUGAGGCAGCCAACUUGGAGGAAUUUCUGGAAGAAAAUAGCAACGUGAAACUGGACUGCAAAGGGCUGCUAAAGUAAUACAAUUGCUGGGAGAAAAGAAACAUUUUGGAAUUUCACUAUUUUGGAGUCAACAAAACCGGCAGUGGGGCAGAAUUUUAUAUAUUUUAUACGCAUCAAAAGGCAGCCAACUGGGGAGAAAUUGAUAGAGUUAUACACGCCAUUGAAGUUAUUCACGUUCCAUAAAUUCUUGGUGAUGUCCUUCCACUUUUCUUUAUCUAAUUUUAAAAAUAUGCUAGGCUAAAUAUUUUCAUGUAUUGGAUGAUGACAAAAUUGUUUAAUUUUUAGUUUUAAUUCGAGACCUAUGUUUUUAUGUUAAUUAUUGCGUUGUGAUUCCAAUAAUAUGCUUAAUUAGAUUGUUCUAAUGUUUGCGCACCAUUAGGAUGAUAAGUUGCUUUUUCGUAGUGUUGGAAAACUCACGAUAAGUAUAACACUAUUAUUGGGACACAUGAACAAUAAAUAUUAGGAAUAGUAUUUGUGGCGUGUGCUAUCUUAUAUGAUAAUUCUAAUUGUCAAUGCAUGUUUGCCAUAUGAAUUCGACUUAGGAAUAGGAUCGUCUCGUGGUAAUCAUAGGUUUAUUAUAUCUUGGGAAAGAAUAAUAAAUAAAUAAAUAAAUAAAUAAACGGAAUUAUCGAUCGUCGCAAUUGCAUAAAUUGAGAUAAUUAUUAUUGGUUGAGAAUUAGAACUAAGAAUUAAUCAAUGGCGUCGGAAAUCCAAUACGUUUACACAUUUGAAUUUUUAAACCAAAUUUAAUUAUUUUCACAAGUUUUAGUUAUAAAAACUAUUUAGCUAUUCCCUCGAUCGUUUUUUCUGUUACAAAUACGAAUUAACUAUAUCAAAUAUACUAAAAUUGAUCCUUAUUCCCUGUGGGACGAUAACUCUCUCAUCACGAUUAUUACUUGUACAACGAACCCGUACGCUUGCGGGAAUCUGACGAACAUCUAGUACCCAGCCAUUGGAUAUAAGUCAUUUUCAACCGCACCUCGAAGUAAAAUUUUGCCUGUAAGGUUCUUCUUCAUGAUAAAAUCACUAGUAGUCAGUAUAAAGUAACAAUUAUUAUCUAAACAAAAUUGAUUAAUAGAAAUAAGAUUUGUGGCUGCUUGUGGACAAUGAAGAAUUUUGUUUAGAUGAAAUUUGAAGUGACCUAGUCUAAAGGAUGAGGAACCAUUAUGUAGAACUAGCAAACUCGAACCAUUGUCGAUUGUCACAGAUUCCGCUUCACGAAAGGGCUACAAAUUGGUAAGAUUAGCUGCAUCUGAUUUUAUAUGUGCAUUGGCACCACUGUCCAUAUACCAAACUUGAUGAUCAUAUGUGGCAUUGCUCUCAGUAACCAUAGCUGCCAGAUCCUGAGGACGAUAUCUGCCUUGAUAGGAAUAAUCAAAACGGUGAUAACAAUCAAUUGCAGUAUGCCCAGAUUUACCACAAAUUUGACAGACAGUACUGUUUGUUUUGAAUUCGCUAAGUAAUGGGUCUAGCAUGUUGCUGAGAUCGAGGGUUGGAGGAGCCUGCUUGCUGCAUCUUUGCUGGAGAAAGUGGUGGUUUCAACUUCUUUAUAUAAGCUGGCAUCUUUAGCUUAUUUGCAGCAAAGGCAAAGUGACCACUGUCCGAAUUUGGAGCAGACAGAUUUAUGUCCAGGAGGUUUUCAUAGCCCAAAAGUUCUACUUGAAAGUCUUCGAGCGUGAAGUCAUUAUCACGUGAAGAAAAAUUAGAAGAUGUGAUAAAUGGCAUGUAGGAGGUUUGUAGACCUCCAAGAAAAAUAUUGAUCGGGUCCUGUUCAUCGACCGGCUCGCCAGCUGUUGCCAGAUGGUCUGCAAUAUUUUUUGGCAUUGUCAAGAUACUCUCAAAGCAGGUUUUAUUACCUUGAGUGAACAUUUGAAGUUGACGUUUGAGAUGUGAAACGCGGGAACGUGCACUUGUUCGGAUGUUUUCAAUCCAUAUAUGGUGGAGACAAGUCUUUCAGAAAGAGAAGCAAGUAUCCAUCCAAGGACACAGGCAUCUUUCUUCUGCCAAACAAAAUAGGCAGAAUUUAAUGAACCAGUGGGGAGAUCUUUGGGAAGACAGACUUCAGUACCAUCUAUGAAGCCAACCAUAUCGUAACCUCUAAGCAGAUUAAGAGACCGUAUUUUUCAUGCCAGAUAAUUGUGGGAACCUUCAAGUUUGACAGAGAUGGUGGUGGCAGAUGGGGGAAAGAAAGGUGCUAGAGUAGUGUAGUUGGUGUUGUUGGUGGCCAUUUGGAUUAUGCGGAAGCUUAAGGAAGGAUCGUUUAAAAAAUAGUGUAAGUUUUUAGAAUGUUAGGCUGAUACCAUGUAAAGAAUUAUUUACUGAACAUGGACAGAUAAAUGCAGAGAAUUUUUGGCUUGGCUUUCUUACUUAGCUUUGAAUAUUUGUACAUUUUAACUAUAAUACACGAUUGUAUAGGGGAAAGAUAAGAUAUCUCUCUAGCUGGAGAUACUUGAAACAGAUGGGACUCUUAAUGCACUACCAGAAUGGAAUCUUGUUCCCUGAUUUUCUGCCAAAGUAUCUGACUGUCUAACACUUUACAAGCUUUAGAUCGCUGCUUAUCUCAACUUUGCUUGUCUGCUUAGCAGUUGUUUGUAUACACGGUGCACUCCUUGUUUCCGAAGAUUUGUUCCUGAACAUAAGUUGGAGAAAAGCCCAAGCAGCUUGCUUUACGAGACGUUGUGGAUGCAGAUAUCGAAUCCUUUAUUGCAACUAGGGAUAAAAAGUCUUUUGGUGAAGUAUAGCCGUGGGAGGCUGGCUUGAUUGAAAACAACUCGAAAUCAUCGGAGGGAAAUGAUGAUGAGGCAGAGACGGAGUUCGUGUUUGUGGUGGAGGAGGCAAAGGCGAAGUUGUGGUGGAGAAGGGUAAGAUUGGAGGGGAUCACCUCAACUGAGGUUGAGAUGGA